AUGAGCAAUUGCCUACUUUCUCUAGUUGCCUUCUUGCCUGGAAUAAUCAUCCUUUGUGGCUUGAUUGCUUUGGUCUGCAUUGUGCUUUUCGGCACCACACCUGCUCGUGGACAAAGGAAGACUGUCAAGAAGUUCAGGGAACCAGGAAAGAUUGGAUGUGAUAUCUGUAAUGUAGUUGCCAACCCAAAUGUACCUCCAGAAGACAUUGAAUUUGCUAUAGGUGAUUAUCUAGUCAAGGUGGAGAAGGGGAUCAGUCCUGACUCCAAUGUGUGCCUGGAGAUGUUUCCAAAAGAGCAGUUUGUGCCUGGCAGCAAUGUACGGCAAGUACAACUGGUGACUGAUGCCCAGGAAGACAGAAGUUCAGAUGAGCAAAGUUAUAUUUUGACUUUCCAGUACUUGCAGAACUCUUUACAGAUCUUCCUGGAGAGAAUUGCUGGCACUUCCCAGAAAAGAGGUGAUGUGACAUCCACCACCAUCACUAAGAACAGAAAGUCCAAGUAGGCAGCAAAAGACAAGCCAAGAAGGCAGCAAAAGUGAAGUUAAAAAGAGAGAACCUACCCUGUUUUCAACUUGGCAACUUGCCCUUCUACAACUUGCAGUGCAAAGAACCUUCUCUCCUUUGUCACCUAAGAACUAAGCUUGCGGGUGUGCUUCUCACUGCUUCAUUAAAAAUUCACUGUGGUUAACACUCAUACUAGAUGUUUGGGUUUAUUUAUAGCUUUUUAUGUUUAAAUGUGAUACACUGACAUUGUUGGUAUAAUUGAAAACCAAAUUCAUUGUUUUAACUUCAGUGCAGAGGAAACUAUGGGGAAGUAAAUGCUUUUAUUUUACAUUUCCAUUUGAGAAUUAGAAAUACUGAUUAAAAAAAGGAUUUUUUCUUAGUGUUAGCAAAUCUAAGUGUCCAUCUAUUAAUUGAUGCCUGGACAAAAAUGCCCAGUGGCACUUGUUAAAAUGGAGAAAUGUAAGUAACAGGUGUCCUAGUAGAAUAGCUGACACUUAUUUUUAAGCCUACACUUACUGUUCUG
rnacentral:lncRNA from 1 species